rnacentral:rRNA from 1 species
UACGAAGGGGGCUAGCGUUGUUCGGAAUUACUGGGCGUAAAGCGCACGUAGGCGGAAUGUUAAGUCAGGGGUGAAAUCCCGGGGCUCAACCCCGGAACUGCCUUUGAUACUGGCAUUCUCGAGUCCGGAAGAGGUGAGUGGAAUUCCGAGUAUAGAGGUGAAAUUCGUAGAUAUUCGGAGGAACACCAGUGGCAAAGGCGGCUCACUGGUCCGGUACUGACGCUGAGGUGCGAAAGCGUGGGGAGCAAACAGG